GAAGUGCUGCUGAGUCUUCUCUAUUUGAUGGGGGAGGGACAACAGGAGGUUUGGAAUCUUAAGGAGCAAGAAGGUUCUGACUGGAAGAUAGAUAGUUCUCUCAGCCUUGAAAUGGAAAAGGGGAAGGUCUGACCAAGACUUGAUCCUGAGAAAAGACUCAUCUUUUUCUCCUGGUGACUGGACAUCCUUCCCCCCAUCAAUUCCCAACCAAAGUGGCCAGCUGGAGAAGACAACAAAGACUCUCUACCAUUCUUAUGCUAACAGUCUGUAUGAUGAAGCUUCCAGGAUUCUUCUUUUGAUCAUGUGGGUACUCCCUCUACUGGUGAACAUAGGACUCCUACACUGGAGAAUACUAUCUUCAAGACUUUCUGUGGCUGGGAAAAAUCAAUGUAUUCUAAAGAGCUUUCCUGAGUCCAGUAUUUCAAACUUCCUACUAAGUCUUACCAGCUAAUGUAAUGUACUCAAGGCAUAAAGAAUAUAUAUGAUGUUUAUAAAUCAUCUAAAUACUAAAUAAAUAAAAAAAGAAGUGAUUUCA
rnacentral:lncRNA from 1 species